rnacentral:rRNA from 1 species
AUUGAACGCUGGCGGCAUGCCUUACACAUGCAAGUCGAACGGCAGCACGGGAGCAAUCCUGGUGGCGAGUGGCGAACGGGUGAGUAAUAUAUCGGAACGUGCCCAGUCGUGGGGGAUAACGUAGCGAAAGCUACGCUAAUACCGCAUACGAUCUAUGGAUGAAAGCGGGGGAUCGCAAGACCUCGCGCGAUUGGAGCGGCCGAUAUCAGAUUAGGUAGUUGGUGAGGUAAAGGCUCACCAAGCCGACGAUCUGUAGCUGGUCUGAGAGGACGACCAGCCACACUGGGACUGAGACACGGCCCAGACUCCUACGGGAGGCAGCAGUGGGGAAUUUUGGACAAUGGACGCAAGUCUGAUCCAGCCAUUCCGCGUGCAGGAUGAAGGCCCUCGGGUUGUAACUGCUUUUGUACGGAACGAAAGGUUCUAUUAUACUAGGAGCUCAUGACGGUACCGUAAGAAUAAGCACCGGCUAACUACGUG